ACUUUUUCCUAACACAAAUGUUCUUCCCCUCAUUUAUACGAGGACAGCGGGAGUCGGCAGACAUCUCAAACUUGAGUCGUCUUCAUAAAAGAAGUAGCCUACAGAGCACCGAGGAAAGAUAGCCAUGGGUGUGAUAAGCAAAGCUGGUGAUUUGACGUUUAAGGCUUUCACUUUGGGUCUCGGCGUCGCCACGAUUUAUCUCGGCGGCUCAUUUUCCUUCAACGUUUACCGGGGUCUCGCUUGGCACAACGCGCAAUCGAAAAUCGAGAAUGAUGUGACCCCUGAUCAGAAGUCAUGAUCAAAUUAUAUGGUUAUGUUGUUAAGCUUCAGUAACUUCGAGCAUUCAUCUUAUAUUCACAAAGAAAAUCAAGUACUCAUGUUAAAAGCUUUCAUAGCUUGAAAUGAACUCAAUAUGUCAUUUGUCCUGUUUAUUAUUAUUUUUUUAAAUAGGACUUGAGAUCUUUUUCUAGGUUUUGAACAUUUAUGGCUGCUUGUUUUGAACAGCAGCACAAAUACUAAACAAAUGCAGUUAUAAUAAUAACAAUUUGAGUUUGUAUA